rnacentral:lncRNA from 1 species
AGUUAUCACAACUCUGUACAAACUGAUACGGUCCCUAGCGGGCAAAAGGGACUGGAAAUGAACGUCGCGGGGUUAUCAGCGCCGAUCUGUCAGCGGCAACUCGCGCGGCCGCAGGCUCGUCCGCUGCAGGAGCCGUGAUAUAUGUCUCGCUCCCUUUCGCUUACAGAAAGGAUUUCUUCCGACAGACGUGACCCCAGAAGGCUGCCGAGGGAGACUUUAGGACAAGAGGCGUUGUUUUUGGAAGGAAGAGGAGCCUGUGCAGAGUUGAACUGGGGUGGAGAGGUGCCUUGUAAAGUAUGGUUUCCAGAGAUGGUGAGACCUCGUAGCUAAGCGUUGUUUCCUCUGCACGUAACUUUUCAGCGUGGCCGCAUUUGGAAAAGGCUGAAGGUAGAAAACUCUGGAAUGGAGAGGCUGGCGACUGGAGCAGGAUCCAGGGGCUUUAAAUUUUAACCUGAAUGCGAUCGAAUGCGCGACUCCCAGAAGAGAUAGCCAGGCGUCCGCCCGGCCGCUCAACCCCCGCCAGGACUCGGAAUGCCUUGCUUUUGGUUCUUUUCGUGAGUUCCGACCAAAUGUUUAAGUGGACUGGGUUUUGCAGAAGCUCAUUUGUAAGCACUGACGGAAAUGGGUUGUGGGCAUUUGAUUUCCUUUGAUUCCAACGUUUUGAAAUAAUGUUUCUCGGAUUUGCUAUUCGAAGCAAUUUUCUAAAAACUCAUAUCUUAUUUGCUAAAAAUAAACUCUUUGGCUCAGUUUGUGUCCAGGCUGUGUACGGCCUCCAACCCUGAGCCCCGAGGAGAUCGAGCCCUGGCGCGAGCCUGAUCUCUGUCCUGUGUGUUUCUUUGUAUUUGCAAGUACAAGGAUGUCUGCGUGGAUAUCCCUGGACACUCGAUACCCCCCGGGGACCUGCUUUUCCCGCAGCUCCGCAGACGCGGCGGGAGGGCGCGCUGGCCCCGGCGCUGCUGGGACAGAGGUGAGCAGCGGGGUGGACAUUGACCGAUUCGACAACGUUCGGGCUCUAAGGGCUCGGGAAGGGACCCGGCAUUUUACCCUCCAGAUUCCCAAUCUAUUUUUAAAAAUAAUGUUCAAAACAUAUGGGAAAAAUAAGUGAUUGCUCCUUUUCAUGGUCACAGAUUGUAUUUAUUUUUUCAGACUGGUUUUCCAACCUAACGAGGGAAUGGGUAGUGAAUGUUGUUGUUGUUGUUGUUGUUUAUGUUGGUUAAUUUCGAAAUAAAACUGUUUAACUCGUACAGUUGAUUCAGACAGAAAACCAGGCUGCCUGACGUCUCCAAUGUGCCUUUUCCCCAAUGCAUCUUUGGCGCUAGGGACCGCUCUGGGGAAGACAAGCAUGUUUUCAAAGCCACUCCCAU